CCCCUAGUGGUCUACUGUUUAAGACUCUGUGCUCCCAAUGCAGGAGGCGCAGGUUCGAUCCCUGGUUGGGGGA
rnacentral:tRNA from 1 species